GCUUGUAAUGGAAAAAAAUGAAGUUCUGAUUUUGGGUUUUGAUUAUUAAAUAGUUUGAUUUUAGAGAAAUAAUGUUACUAAAUGUUUAAUUAAUAGCAAGUGAUUAACUUUUAUGUGCUUUUAUAUCUGUGUUGGAGAAGGUCGGAAGUCACCUGUCUUAUUUUCUCUUGUUUCUUUUUUAGACUUGUAUUCUAUCUGUUCUAUAUUCUGUAUUUUGUGUUUUAAUUAUAUCUUGAAAAUUAAUAAAGCUUUAUGGAAAAA